rnacentral:ribozyme from 1 species
UAAAGCAAAGAAGGAAAGAAAAGAAAAGAAGAAACUGAUUGGAGUGCUUGGAUUUUUUUUGUGAUUUUUUUUGUUUUCGAUAAAUUUAUUUUCAUU